rnacentral:rRNA from 1 species
UACAGAGGUCCCGAGCGUUUGUUCGGAUUCAUUGGGCGUAAAGGGUGCGUAGGCGGCCGUGCAAGUCGGGUGUGAAAGCCCUCGGCUCAACCGAGGAAGUGCGCCCGAAACUGCAUGGCUUGAGUACCGGAGAGGUGGCGGAAUUCCCCAAGUAGAGGGUGAAAAUUCGUAGAUAUGGGGAGGAACACCGGUGGCGAAGGCGGCCAC